UACGUAGGGUGCAAGCGUUGUCCGGAAUUAUUGGGCGUAAAGAGCUCGUAGGCGGCUUGUCGCGUCGUUCGUGAAAACCCACAGCUCAACUGUGGGCUUGCGGUCGAUACGGGCAGGCUGGAGUUCGGUAGGGGAGACUGGAAUUCCUGGUGUAGCGGUGAAAUGCGUAGAUAUCAGGAGGAACACCGGUGGUGUAGACGGCUUUCUGGACCGACACUGACGCUGAGACACGAAAGCGUGGGUAGCAAACAGG
rnacentral:rRNA from 1 species